CCAGAUUGAAGAAGUUCAGCGGUGAACGUAGUUUAUUGGCAGAGCCGGAUCUCUUCAUUCUCUCGCUGGUGGAGUUACCCAGCUUUCGCAUGCGUCUGGACGUCAUGAUCCUCCAGCUGGAGUUUGACCCUGCGGUGACCUCUCUCUGCGUGGCGGCCAGAUGUCUGCGGGAGGCGGCUCGAGAGCUGCUGAGCCGCCCGGAGCUGCACUACAUCCUGCGACUGGUGCUCAAGGCGGGAA